UUUGUGGAGAGUUUGAUCCUGGCUCAGGACGAACGCUGGCGGCGUGCUUAACACAUGCAAGUCGAACGGAAAGGCCCUGCUUGCAGGGUACUCGAGUGGCGAACGGGUGAGUAACACGUGGGUGAUCUGCCCUGCACUUCGGGAUAAGCCUGGGAAACUGGGUCUAAUACCGGAUAGGAGCCAUUUUUAGUGUGAUGGUUGGAAAGUUUUUUCGGUGUAGGAUGAGCUCGCGGCCUAUCAGCUUGUUGGUGGGGUAAUGGCCUACCAAGGCGGCGACGGGUAGCCGGCCUGAGAGGGUGGACGGCCACAUUGGGACUGAGAUACGGCCCAGACUCCUACGGGAGGCAGCAGUGGGGAAUAUUGCACAAUGGGCGCAAGCCUGAUGCAGCGACGCCGCGUGGGGGAUGACGGCCUUCGGGUUGUAAACUCCUUUCGCUAGGGACGAAGCUUUUUGUGACGGUACCUAGAUAAGAAGCACCGGCUAACUACGUGCCAGCAGCCGCGGUAAUACGUAGGGUGCGAGCGUUGUCCGGAAUUACUGGGCGUAAAGGGCUCGUAGGUGGUUUGUCGCGUCGUCUGUGAAAUUCCGGGGCUUAACUCCGGGCGUGCAGGCGAUACGGGCAUAACUUGAGUACUGUAGGGGUAACUGGAAUUCCUGGUGUAGCGGUGAAAUGCGCAGAUAUCAGGAGGAACACCGAUGGCGAAGGCAGGUUACUGGGCAGUUACUGACGCUGAGGAGCGAAAGCAUGGGUAGCGAACAGGAUUAGAUACCCUGGUAGUCCAUGCCGUAAACGGUGGGCGCUAGGUGUGAGGGUCUUUUCACGACUUUCGUGCCGUAGCUAACGCAUUAAGCGCCCCGCCUGGGGAGUACGGCCGCAAGGCUAAAACUCAAAGGAAUUGACGGGGGCCCGCACAAGCGGCGGAGCAUGUGGAUUAAUUCGAUGCAACGCGAAGAACCUUACCUGGGCUUGACAUACAC
rnacentral:rRNA from 1 species